rnacentral:rRNA from 1 species
GGCGUAGGGCGCGAGCGUUGUCCGGAUUUAUUGGGCGUAAAGAGCUCGUAGGCGGCUUGUCGCGUCAACUGUGAAAACCCGUGGCUCAACCAUGUGGUCUGCAGUCGAUACGGGCAGGCUAGAAUUCGGUAGGGGAGACUGGAAUUCCUGGUGUAGCGGUGAAAUGCGCAGAUAUCAGGAGGAACACCGGUGGCGAAGGCGGGUCUCUGGGCCGAUAUUGACGCUGAGGAGCGAAAGCGUGGGGAGCGAACAGG